GAACUCACAAGCUGUGAGAUCAUGACCUGAGCUGAAGUCAGACGCUUAGCUGACUGAGCCACCCAGGCACCCCAUGCAUUGUCUCAUUUAAUCCACAAUAAGCCAGUGCUAAAUUUCUCCCUAUGUUACAAAUGAGAAGAUUGAGUCUAUGAGAUAUGAAGCGACUUGCCCAAGUGGCUAAUGGUUAGUGGAGUCAGGAUUAGGACCCCAGGCUAACUCCAGCCCUAGGUCCUAAUUAACUGCCAGACCUCCUUGCCGAGUGAUUUAGCAGGUCCAGAAUUGAGUUCUGUCCAUGUGUGGUUUCCACCCCGGCACUGACUUGGCCUCUGUGUGCCUCAGUUUCCUCCUCUCUAGAUAGGGAUUCAUGAGGCAUUUGUAUAAAGAAGCUACCGCAUACUAGGUGCCCACUAGAAGCCGGCUACGAUUACUGUUGCUAUUUCUUGUUUUAAUUGCUAUGACCCUGGAGCCUCAUAGCACCGUUCUGCUCCCUCUCCUUCACUAAAGCUUUUCAGGUACUUGCAGACAGUGAUGGUGUCUCUGCCCAGGCCUUCUCUUACAUGGACACGUCACCUGCCUGCCCUUCAGCCGUUCCUUGGAUGACAGUUUCACGCCCCUCCGCUGUGCUGCCGCUUGUACACUUCCAGUCGAGUUUCGUUUGUCUGUGUGUCUCCUAAGGCAGUGUGACGUCAGCCUUGUAAGUAAAGAAAAGCCGGUCUGAGCUCAGGCACCAGGGAAAUUGCUUGCAGUGCUGAAGCCGCCUGAAGACACUGAGGUGCCCACAGAGGAUGAUGCACAACUGAUGUAGCUGCACCUGGAGCGAACCAUAGCAAAGCUCCAUUGGACUCACUUGGCUGCAGGUGGUGAGUGGGGAAGCGCAAGUGAAUUCUGCGUUGACAAGGCCCACGACUGGGAGGCAGUAGCUAUAAACCGAGUUCCAUUGUCACAUUGUAUCAUAUUGGGGAAUUUUAGCCCAUGGCCAAGGUGCUCAUCAGAACCUUAGGAGUCUGGAUGAUAGCUUGGUGAAGAGAACAGCCACCCCGUGUUCUAAACCAGGUCUAUGGUGGUCGGAAUCCACGGCAACCAAUUUGCCUAUUGUGCACUGAUCAGAUCCCAAAGUCAUUGUGCUACAGCUCGAGCCACAGGCCAGCACUUCUGGCAAGACGUACUCUGUGAGUGCCAGUGACAUCAUAGGGAUGGUCCCUAUUUUACAGCCAAGGUAACUGAAGCCUUGUGAAGGAAGUGCUUCGUCCUCCAUCACCCAGGUGGGAGCUGAAGAGCAGGGGCUUAGACCAGAGCUGUGGAUUCUUCAGUCUUGCCCCAUUAUCCUGACAUCUUCCCUGUCCCCCAUCGUCCAGUCUAGCUGUAAAUGUCCCAUCAUCCUUAGCUGAAGCUAAGGCCCCUCUCGCUCACCUGCUG